UUAUGGCUCAGGAUGAACGCUAGCUACAGGCUUAACACAUGCAAGUCGAGGGGCAGCGAGAGGAAAGCUUGCUUCCUGUCGGCGACCGGCGCACGGGUGAGUAACGCGUAUCCAACCUUCCCUUAGUAGGGCAUAGCCCGGCGAAAGUCGGAUUAAUACCCUAUGUUUUCCAAUGAGGACAUCUGAGCUGGAACAAAGAUUUAUCGCUAAGGGAUGGGGAUGCGUCUGAUUAGGUAGUCGGCGGGGUAACGGCCCACCGAGCCUACGAUCAGUAGGGUUCUGAGAGGAAGGUCCCCCACAUUGGUACUGAGACACGGACCAAACUCCUACGGGAGGCAGCAGUGAGGAAUAUUGGUCAAUGGGCGCGAGCCUGAACCAGCCAAGUAGCGUUGCAGGAUGACUGCCCUAUGGGUUGUAAACUGCUUUUAUACGGGGAUAAAGUGAGGUAUGCAUACCUUUUUGUAGGUACCGUAUGAAUAAGGACCGGCUAAUUCCGUGCCAGCAGCCGC
rnacentral:rRNA from 1 species